rnacentral:rRNA from 1 species
UACGUAGGGACCAAGCGUUGUUCGGAUUCAUUGGGCGUAAAGGGCGCGUAGGCUGCGGGGCAAGUCGGGUGUGAAAUCUCAGAGCUCAACUCUGAAACUGCACUCGAUACUGCUUUGCUCGAGGACUGGAGAGGAGAUUGGAAUUCACGGUGUAGCAGUGAAAUGCGUAGAUAUCGUGAGGAAGACCAGUGGCGAAGGCGGAUCUCUGGACAGUUCCUGACGCUGAGGCGCGAAGGCCAGGGGAGCAAACGGG